AAGCGAGGGAUGAGUGUUAAAUGAGGGCACAGAGAUAGGCGGGAUGGAAAAUAGAAAACAAAAGGGGAGGAGACUCAAAAACAACAGAUGUAGGUGGACUGUUAAAAAAAGACACGGUGUAGCCAAGCAGAAAGAGGAAAGAAGAGAAAGAGAUAGGCGGCGUGGACGGAGCUCAGCCGUGGCAGCAGCCGGAGGGGGGAGGCAGUUUGGUCUGCAGGCGAGACAAGAUGAGCUCACUGGCCCCGGCAGCGGACGGCCCGGCCGUCGGCACCUGGUUGUCGGCUCGAGCCGAAAACUGCAGUCCUUACAACAAUGAGAAGGAAUUCCUCCUUAGCAUGGUGGCUACCUGGCCCGACAGCGCCCCCUCGAGAUCAGCAGGAGCGUCGACCUGACCGACCGGCGGGUGAAGAAGCAGCUCUCCAACUGGAGGCGCGGGAUCACCUCAGGACCUGAUGGAGAAGAGGACCCACCGGAAGCUGUAAAACACAGAGGAUGAGGAAGAGCAGGGUGCAACUUGGACUCAGUCUGCCUGUCUUCUUCUAAUGGUUGUGACUGAAGAGUGAUCCUGUUACAGUACAUAUCUAAUCAGCUUACCAAUUUGAGAUGAGAUGUUGGAGCGACUACGUGUACACGUGAUAUGAGAUACUCGUCUAUGAAAACCGUCCUGACAAGAUUCCUAAAUUAAAUUCUUGUAUUUACUGACCCACAUGCCAGCUGACCUCAGGCCAUCUCUGCUUCCUCACAGUGUUCAUCAUGUGUCAUCAACUUGCUGCUUCCAAUGAUCGCAGAGCAGCCCAAGAGGAUUUCCAAACUUCUUUUUGCACCAGGGUCACACAGUUGGAUAUUCAUUAAGCCAAGCAGGAACCUGGUGCUGAAGGGAUUUUACUUGUUAGAUAUGAUUUACUGCAGCAGUCUGACCUCCUGCUGCUGGAUUCAGUCACAUGCACUCUAAUCAUUUGAUUAUAACCAGAGGAAGGAAAUACUGCAAGUCUUGCAACUGUCAUAUGAAAACCUUAACAGAGUUAUUGUACUUUGUGACAAUUAAACUGUAAUUCAAUUAACAGGGAUUUUGAUUUGUCAGUCUUUCAGAUGAACCUUGGCAUAUUUAAAACAUAUUUUGUUUUCUUUUGGUGUUUUGAUUCUGUGCCACAAAUGAGAACUGAAUGCACGGCAGAAUGUAAAAAACAGACCAGCGCGGUUAACCAAGAUUUGGGAAGAUAGUGCUGAAGCUGAUGAUGAAUCUGACACUACAAGUAAUAGAGUUUGUGCUAAUGUAUUCUGUAAAGUCAUUAUCACUAGAAACAAUAAAAAGCAGCUAAAUUCUUUCAUUU